rnacentral:tRNA from 3 species
AGUGGUAAAACUAGCCUUCC